rnacentral:rRNA from 1 species
GGAAGGAUCAUUGUCGAACCCUGCAAGGCAGAACGACCAUGUGAACANCGUAAUACUAUCGGGUGAUGGGAAAGACGGAACUCUGUUCUUAUUCCCAUCCCCUCUCCAUAUGCGUCUGUGGUGCCUCUUUUGGGGUGCCAUGUAUGUCAUGUUGGAACAUAACAAACCCCGGCACGGUAUGUGCCAAGGAAAACAAAAUCGAGAAGGACUCAUCAUGUGUUGCCCCGUUUUGCGGUGUGCAUGCAUGAUGUGGCCUCUUUAUAAUUACAAACGACUCUCNGGGCGUCACGCAUCGCGUCGCCCCAACCAAAGUUACCAAACCGGUAAUCAUGUUGGUGGGGCGGAGAUUGGNCCUCCCGUACCUGUUGCGGUUGGCCUAAAACGGAGUCCCCUUCAGCGGACACACGACUAGUGGUGGUUGAANUNAGACCCUNUGUCUUUAUCGUGUGUCAUGAGNNCUGCUNAGGAGCCUCUUACAAAGNACCCCAUUNGUAUCGUUUUCGGACGGUGCUUCGACCGCGACCCCAGG